UACUCUGGUUUCUCUUCAGAUCGCAUAAAUCUUUCCCCUUUUACUAAAGAUUUCCAUGGGGAGUCAGGUCCUGAGGGGGCUGUU
rnacentral:snRNA from 1 species